UCGUGUCGUGAGAUGUUCGGUUAAGUCCGGCAACGAGCGCAACCCACAUCCUUAGUUGCCAGCAGUUCGGCUGGGCACUCUAGGGAAACUGCCCGUGAUAAGCGGGAGGAAGGUGUGGAUGACGUCAAGUCCUCAUGGCCCUUACGGGUUGGGCUACACACGUGCUACAAUGGCAGUGACAAUGGGUUAAUCCCAAAAAACUGUCUCAGUUCGGAUUGGGGUCUGCAACUCGACCCCAUGAAGUCGGAAUCGCUAGUAAUCGCGUAACAGCAUGACGCGGUGAAUACGUUCCCGGGCCUU
rnacentral:rRNA from 1 species